CGUAUCAUGGCCACUGCCCAGGCUUUGAACGACGUCGUUUCUUUCAUUGCUUAUAAGCCAAACCUUAGAGCAAUCAGCAGUUUAUUUCAUUUAAAAUAAAACCUAAAAGAUUUGCUUAUUGUUUUCGGUGCCGUUCUGGGUAUUGAAGGUAUCUGAGCAGUCGUCGAUCCUAGUCCAUGCUCCGAUGACGACGGAGAGAGCUAGGAUUCCACCCCAGGUACAGCGUACGGGGUCGGAGACGUGGCACGUACGGAUGUGCGCGGGCGCGCGCGUACGGAGGCUUGUUUGAGUGGUGCACGUGCGUGGGGAGUGACUCGGAGGCAUGGUUCGUGGCGUGUACAGAGGCCAGCUGGAGGCGCGUGGAGGCGCUGCAUACGUGAGGAGUAGCUCGGCACGCGCGGAGGAUGGCCUUGGUGGCUGCGGCGCUGGAGGCUGUGAUGCUAAAGGCUAGGGUUUCUGAUUCUUUUUGUGUUGGGUUUGGGUUGAAUUUAGGCUGAUGGUUAAGACCAGUUAGGGUCUGUAAUCGGGUUUAGUGACUGGGCUUCAACCCGAAUUUGGCCCAUUGUAAUUGGACUGUUUAUUGGACUUUUGGUUUGGUUUAUUUUAAUAGCGGGCCGGGUAAAUUGGGCCUAUUACAGUUACUUAUUAAUUUAUUCGAUUAUUGUGAUAUAAAUGAUGCCCAUUUUUUAACA